rnacentral:rRNA from 1 species
UAAGGAGGGUGCAAGCGUUGUUCGGAUUUACUGGGCGUAAAGGGCGCGUAGGCGGCGUGGUAAGUCGGGUGUGAAAUCCUUCCGCUUAACGGAAGAAGUGCACCCGAAACUGCCUUGCUCGAGUUUAGGAGAGGAGAGCGGAAUUCCCGGUGUAGAGGUGAAAUUCGUAGAUAUGGGGAGGAACACCCGUGGCGAAAGCGGCGCUCUGGCCUAAUACUGACGCUGAGGCGAGAAAGCGUGGGGAGCAAACAGG